GAUGAACGCUGGCGGCGUGCUUAACACAUGCAAGUCGAACGGAAAGGCUCCUGCUUGCAGGGGUACUCGAGUGGCGAACGGGUGAGUAACACGUGGGUGAUCUGCCCUGCACUUCGGGAUAAGCCUGGGAAACUGGGUCUAAUACCGGAUAGGACCACAUUUUGGAUGGUGUGGUGGAAAGUUUUUCGGUGUGGGAUGAGCUCGCGGCCUAUCAGCUUGUUGGUGGGGUAAUGGCCUACCAAGGCGUCGACGGGUAGCCGGCCUGAGAGGGUGUACGGCCACAUUGGGACUGAGAUACGGCCCAGACUCCUACGGGAGGCAGCAGUGGGGAAUAUUGCACAAUGGGCGCAAGCCUGAUGCAGCGACGCCGCGUGGGGGAUGACGGCCUCGGGUUGUAAACUCCUUUCGCUAGGGACGAAGCGUUUUUGUGACGGUACCUGGAGAAGAAGCACCGGCUAACUACGUG
rnacentral:rRNA from 1 species